GCUCCAGAAGUAGCUAGUCUAACCGCAAGGGGGACGGUUACCACGGAGUGAUUCAUGACUGGGGUGAAGUCGUAACAAGGUAGCCGUAGGGGAACCUGCGGCUGGAUCACCUCCUUAA
rnacentral:rRNA from 1 species